rnacentral:rRNA from 1 species
AACGUACGCUGGCGGCACGCCUAACACAUGCAAGUCGAACGCAGUAGCAAUACUGAGUGGCAAACGGGUGAGUAUAAUGUGGGAAUCUGCCUUUUGGCCUGGAAUAACACGAGGAAACUUGUGCUAAUACCGGAUAAGUCUUUACGGAGAAAGCUUUAUGCACCAUUGGAUGAGCCCGCACUUGAUUAGUUUGUUGGUAGGGUAAUGGCCUACCAAGACUGUGAUCAAUAGCUGAUUUGAGAGGAUGAUCAGCCACAUUGGGACUGAGACACGGCCCAAACUCCUACGGGAGGCAGCAGUGGGGAAUCUUGCACAAUGGAGGAAACUCUGAUGCAGCGAUGCCGCGUGAGUGAAGAAGGCCCUUGGGUUGUAAAGCUCUUUCGUCGGGGAAGAAAAUGACUGUACCCGAAUAAGAAGGUCCGGCUAACUUCGUGCCAGCAGCCGCGGUAAUACGAAGGGACCUAGCGUAGUUCGGAAUUACUGGGCUUAAAGAGUUCGUAGGUGGUUGAAAAAGUUGGUGGUGAAAUCCCAGAGCUUAACUCUGGAACUGCCAUCAAAACUUUUUAGCUAGAGUAUGAUAGAGGAAAGCAGAAUUUCUAGUGUAGAGGUGAAAUUCGUAGAUAUUAGAAAGAAUACCAAUUGCGAAGGCAGCUUUCUGGAUCAUUACUGACACUGAGGAACGAAAGCAUGGGUAGCGAAGAGGAUUAGAUACCCUCGUAGUCCAUGCCGUAAACGAUGUGUGUUAGACGUUGGAAAUUUAUUUUCAGUGUCGCAGGGAAACCGAUAAACACACCGCCUGGGGAGUACGACCGCAAGGUUA